UAGAUACCUCCGUCCGGAAUUACUUGUCGCACAAAUGUAUAGAAAUAGAUGUAUCUAGAACUAACAUACAUCUAGAUACAUCUUCUCCUAAGACAAGUAUUUUGGGACGGAGAGAGUAGAUG
rfam:Hordeum vulgare subsp. vulgare, WGS project CAJW01000000 data, contig: morex_contig_1600060